AAUAAGUGUAGUUUUAGCACUGUUCAUGUUUAACGUUUGACCGUUCGUCCUAUUUGAAAAAAUAUUAUGAUUAGUAUUUUUAUUGUUAUUAGAUGAUAAAACAUGAAUAGUACUUUAUGUGUGACUAAUUUUUUUAAUAUUUUUCAUAAAUUUUUAUUUUUUCAUAAAUUUUUUAAAUAAGACGGAUGGUCAAAGUGCUAAACACGGAUAUCUAUGGUUGCACUUAUU
rfam:Oryza rufipogon genomic scaffold, chr06